AGCCAUGUGGUGAAUACAGAGCGAACUAUUCUUUCGCCUUUUACUAAAGAAUACCGUGUGUUCUCCACGCUUAGUGGCCUACGCUUAUUUUUGGAAGGUUCUGCAUUCGUGUGGGCCC